UACGGAGGAGGCAAGCGUUAUCCGGAAUUAUUGGGAGUAAAGCGUCCGCAGGUGGCAGUUCAAGUCUGCUGUCAAAUCUUGCAGCUUAACCGGAUAUAGGCAGUGGAAACUGGAGAGCUAGAGUGCAAUAGGGGUAGAGGGAAUUCCCGGUGUAGCGGUGAAAUGCGUAGAGAUCGGGAAGAACACCAGUGGCGAAAGCGCUCUACUAGGUUGCAUCUGACACUGAGGGACGAAAGCUCGGGGAGCGAAUGGG
rnacentral:rRNA from 1 species